rnacentral:rRNA from 1 species
UACAGAGGUCUCAAGCGUUGUUCGGAUUCAUUGGGCGUAAAGGGUGCGUAGGUGGCGGGGCAAGUCGGAUGUGAAAUCUCAGGGCUCAACCCUGAAACUGCAUUCGAUACUGCUUUGCUCGAGGACUGGAGAGGAGAUUGGAAUUCACGGUGUAGCAGUGAAAUGCGUAGAUAUCGUGAGGAAGACCAGUGGCGAAGGCGGAUCUCUGGACAGUUCCUGACACUGAGGCACGAAGGCCAGGGGAACAAACGGG